GCCAGUGUGGCAUAGUGGUUUGAAUGUUGGACUAUGACUCUGGAGACCAGGAUUUGAUUCCCAGCUCAGUCC
rnacentral:tRNA from 1 species